AUACGGAGGGUGCAAGCGUUAUCCGGAUUCACUGGGUUUAAAGGGUGCGUAGGUGGGUUGGUAAGUCAGUGGUGAAAUCCCCGAGCUUAACUUGGGAACUGCCAUUGAUACUAUUAAUCUUGAAUACCGUGGAGGUCGGCGGAAUAUGUCAUGUAGCGGUGAAAUGCUUAGAUAUGACAUAGAACACCAAUUGCGAAGGCAGCUGGCUACACGAGUAUUGACACUGAGGCACGAAAGCGUGGGGAUCAAACAGGAUUAGAUACCCUGGUAGUCCACGCCCUAAACUAUGGAUACUCGACAUUUGCGAUACACAGUAAGUGUCUGAGCGAAAGCAUUAAGUAUCCCACCUGGGAAGUACGAUCGCAAGAUUGAA
rnacentral:rRNA from 1 species